rnacentral:rRNA from 1 species
GAUGAACGCUAGCUACAGGCUUAACACAUGCAAGUCGAGGGGAAACGAUAUUGGAAGCUUGCUUCCGAUAGGCGUCGACCGGCGCACGGGUGAGUAACGCGUAUCCAACCUGCCCACCACUUUGGGAUAACCUUGCGAAAGUAAGACUAAUACCCAAUGAUAUCUCUAGAAGACAUCUGAAGGAGAUUAAAGAUUCAUCGGUGAUGGAUGGGGAUGCGUCUGAUUAGCUUGGUGGCGGGGUAACGGCCCACCAAGGCGACGAGCAGUAGGGGUUCUGAGAGGAAGGGACCCCACAUUGGAACUGAGACACGGUCCAAACGCCUACGGGAGGCAGCAGUGAGGAAUAUUGGUCAAUGGGCGAGAGCCUGAACCAGCCAAGUAGCGUGCAGGAUGACGGCCCUAUGGGUUGUAAACUGCUUUUAUAAGGGAAUAAAGUGAGUCUCGUGAGACUUUUGCAUGUACCUUAUGAAUAAGGACCGGCUAAUUCCGUGCCAGCCGCCGCAGUAA